UGGUGCCGGCGGGGGGCCGCGGCGCGGCGCGGCGGGGCUCGGGUGCAGCUCACAGAACCGCAGCACGGUAAGGUUGGACGGGGCCUCUGGAGAUCAUCCAGUCCAACCGUCAGCGUAGCCCGUACGGGGAUCGAGCCCGCGGCUCGAUCGUUAGCAGCCCCGGGGCGGCUUGGCGGCGGCCGAAGCCCCCUCAGCCGGCGGCUCGGCAGGCCGGGCCUGAGCUGCGGGCGGGAGGGAGCCCCGGGGCAGGCGGAGGAGCCCCCGGGCAGGCGGAGGAGCCCCCCACCGUGCGCCGGGGCUGAGCCCGCUGCGCCGCCUCAGCGCGGGGGCGGGGGGGAGCGAGAGCUUUACUUCUCCAGGGUCGCUCCCUGCCUCCGCUACCAUCCACCACAGGGAAACAGGGCAGCCCGGUAGGCUUUAAUUCAGCGUGACUCCGAAGAGCAUAAGGAUCUGAAGUUAGGAGAGGAAGCUGCCUUUCACUGGUCUUUAAUAAAGUGGAAAAAUACAAGGUGUUGAGUAUUUCGGGGAGUCUGCGUCAGGCAGGAUUCUCCUACGACAAAGCGAUCCUGAGGAGCUGACCAUCAGAUCUGGUCCUGUGCGUUUCCCUGUAGCUGUGGAGGCAGAAGUGUGUUGGGAUCACUGGACCUCUCUUCAAACCUUGCUGUGUAGAACUGGCUGGAAUGGACUUUCUGAGUCUGAUGUGUGAGGCUUUAGGACAGGAGCUGUGAAUGACCAGUUUUAGAAAUGUAGUACUUGAUAGCUGUGUAGGUGCUUCUUUAUAUUGUCUAGCUGAGAGGAAAAAUUUGGGCCGUUCUCUCUGGAAUCCACUUUUCUAUCUUUAUCAUUGCCUCUUUUCAAUGUAGGCAAAUAUCUGAAACCAGACCCUUGUCUGCAGGCCUUCUGACUCCUCGGCACUGACUGUAAGCUCCUGUAAGGUUAUCUGCAGCAAUUUACUGCAUGCUGUGUCCUUGCAGCUGCCUUUUUUUCUCCUGUGACCUGCCCACAUUUCUUAGCACUCUGCUCAUCAUGCCAGUUUAAUUUCCAUUCGUAGGAGCAGGUUUUUCCUUUUUACAAGAAAACUGACCCUCUCUUGUAAUGUUAGAAGCACCUCUUCUCCUUUUCUGUAUUUACCAGCUCAUUUUUUUCAGUGACUUACUCCAUCCUUUCUGGACUUUCUUUUUGUAUUUAUCUGUUCAAACUACCCUGGAGCAGCACUCUUCCUGUUUUGGUGUUGUAUAAACCACCACCUUGUAGCCUUGGCAUUAAAUAAAAGACAGCAUUCUU